UGGGGCUGUAGCUCAGUUGGGAGAGCGCCUGCUUUGCAAGCAGGAUGUCGUCGGUUCGAGUCCGUCCAGCUCCAU
rnacentral:tRNA from 1 species